rnacentral:lncRNA from 1 species
GUGAACGUGGCAGUCCUGGUGGACCUGUGCUGCUGGCUUCCCUGGUGCUCGUGGUCUUCCUGGUCCUCCUGGUAGUAAUGUAACCCAGGACCCCCAGGUCCCAGCGGUUCUCCAGGCAAGGAUGGGCCCCCAGGUCCUGCGGGUAACACUGGUGCUCCUGGCAGCCCUGGAGUGUCUGGACCAAAAGGUGAUGCUGGCCAACCAGGAGAGAAGGGAUCGCCUGGUGCCCAGGGCCCACCAGAGCUCCAGGCCCACUUGGGAUUGCUGGGAUCACUGGAGCACGGGGUCUUGCAGGACCACCAGGCAUGCCAGGUCCUAGGGGAAGCCCUGGCCCUCAGGGUGUCAAGGUGAAAGUGGGAAACCAGGAGCUAACGGUCUCAGUGGAGAACGUGGUCCCCCUGGACCCCAGGGUCUUCCUGGUCUGGCUGGUACAGCUGGUGAACCUGGAAGAGAUGUGAGU